rnacentral:rRNA from 1 species
GACGAACGCUGGCGGCGUGCUUAACACAUGCAAGUCGAACGGAGUGGCGAACGGGUGAGUAACACGAGGGUGAUCUGCCUUGCACUUCGGGAUAAGCUUGGGAAACUGGGUAUAAUACCGGAUAGUGCAAGAUGAGCUCGGGACCUAUCAGUUUGUUGGUGGGGUAAAGGCCUACCAAUGCGUCGACGGGUAGCCGGCCUGCGAGGGUGUACGGCCACAUUGGGUCUGAAUUACGGCCCAGACUCAUACGGGAGGCAGCAGUGGGGAAUAAUGCACAAUGGGCGGAGGCCUGAAGCAUCAACGCCGCGUGGGGGAUGAAGGCCUUCGGUUUGUAAACUCCUUUCGACAGGGACGCGGUACCUGUUUAAGAAGCACCGGCUAACUACGUGCCAGCCGCCGCGGUAAUUC